CCUUCUCUGAUUAGGCAAGACUUACUCUAGCUCACCAAGCGGUUACCUAAUCCAUACCAAACAUAUCAGAGAGUGAAUGAUACAUAUUUGCUGUUCCCAGUGUUCCCUCUCUGCGACCCCAAACUUAGAAACCCAAUGGCUUCCUUCUCCAAUCCCACCGGCCCAUUCCCGCCGGUGAUUAACCGGAGACCAGGAACUAAACCGGUGACUGUACGGAACAAACCCACAUCCGAAUUCAAACUAAAACCGCUUGUGGAACGAGCAAUGGAGAUGACUGUAAAGGAGAGUGGCCCAGGAAGAAUUGACAUGGCCAGGCUGAAGGAGAGAGAAGCUAGAGAGAGAAAGGAGGAAGUGAACAGAAAGGUAGCGUCGAAGAAAGCGAUAUCGAUCAUCUUAAGAAGGGAGGCCACGAAGGCCGUCAUUGAGAAGAAGAGAGGCCCCAAUAACUCCAAGAAGCUCUUGCCCAGAACUGUCCUCGAAGCUCUUCACGAUCGAAUCACGGCUUUGCGCUGGGAAUCUGCUCUCAUGGUCUUUGAACUACUGCGUGAGCAGCUUUGGUAUAGGCCCAGCCCUGGUAUGUACAUCAAGUUAAUUGUCAUGCUUGGAAAAUGUAAGCAACCUGUGAAAGCCCAUUCCCUGUUUCAUGAUAUGAUUGAUGAAGGCUGUGUUGUGAACCAUGAAUCCUACACUGCCCUUUUAUCUGCCUACAGUAGGAGUGGCCUUCUUGACAAAGCAUUUUCACUCCUUGAGGAGAUGAAGAACACUCCUGAUUGCAAGCCUGAUGUCUUCACAUACUCAAUUCUCAUAAAAUCAUGCCUGCAGGUUUUUGCUUUCAACAAAGUGCAGACUCUGCUUUCUGACAUGGCAUUACAGGGGAUCAAGCCCAACACGAUUACAUACAAUACCCUCAUCGAUGCUUAUGGAAAAGCAAGAAGGUUUACGGAGAUGGAAGCAACAAUUGUGGAAAUGCUCCGUGAGGGGGAAUGCGAGCCUGAUGUCUGGACCAUGAACUCAACAUUGAGAGCAUUUGGCAGCAGCGGGCAGAUAGAAACUAUGGAGAAAUGUUAUGAGAAGUUUCAGUGUGCUGGAAUUCAACCUAACAUCAAGACCUUCAACAUACUCAUUGACUCCUAUGGGAAAACAGGGAACUAUGAGAAAAUGAGUGCUGUGAUGGAAUACAUGCAGAAAUACCACUUCUCAUGGACAAUCGUAACUUACAAUAUAGUAAUAGAUGCAUUUGGAAGAGCUGGAGAUCUGAAACAGGUGGAAUUUUUGUUCAGGCUGAUGCAGUCAGAGAGGAUAAAACCAAACUGUGUUACACUUUGUUCGCUUGUAAGGGCAUAUGGGCAAGCUGGGAAAGUUGAAAAAAUUGGAGGUGUCUUGCGGUUUAUUGAGAACUCAGAUGUGACACUUGAUAUUGUAUUUUUUAACUGCCUUGUGGAUGCUUAUGGGAUGAUGGGAUGUUUUGCGGAGAUGAAAGGGGUGCUUGAGAUGAUGGAGAGGAAAGGAUGUAAGCCUGAUAAGGUUACAUAUAGAACCAUGGUUAAAGCGUAUUCUCUGAGUGGAAUGACUAGCUGCAUAAAGGAGCUCCGGGAUGUACUUGCCUCGAUUGAGGGGACUACAUUGGAGAUUGAAAACAACUUCAAAUGAGAACUUUCACAGGAUACUUAACAACAACUUUACAUUGGUGAUAUUGAAAGAGAUGACCCCAAAGCUGUCAUCACAAAGAGGCAAAUUCCAUUGACUACAUGAUCAGAAGAUCAAGUUUCUAUUAAUGGAAAUUUAGUAUCAAGGAAAAGAGUGUAUCGAUGCUGUAGUGAAGGAAUGGGUGGCCAUAUCCUGUUUAUCGCAACAUCCAUAUUCCAUGUGUUUGCACCAUAAUUAUCGACCACUUUCCAGUGGAAGACUGCCGCAGCCAAUUCCAGUGAAGAUUGAUGUGCAGACGAGGAUGCAAUUAGAAAGCGACACGUGGCUUCAUCUGAGGAAGCCAUAAAAGUAACCGCGUAGAGACAAGUGGCAGGUUUCUAGGAUGGCGGUUAUGGUUGGAUGUUGUAUUUGACGAGUGGGGCACGUGGCAGCCAAGGGAGUAAGCAGUUACCUGCAUAUGGAAGGUCGUGAGUUUCGUGACUUUUUAGUGAGACAUGUGGCACAAACUGAGCAUGGUUGUUGAGAGUGCUCCUGAAAGCAAGGAAACAUCGGACACGUGGCAAAAUUCCAGCGGAAGAGCAGUUAUUCCAGUGGCACGUGGACGAUCAUGUUGGAAGGUCGUGCGAAAAAGGUAGCAGAAACAUCAAAACGUGGGUCAAACGUGGAGUACAAGAUGAGCAAAAUUUGGAAACAUGGGACACGUGGAGGAUUUUCAACGGAAGAGCAGUUAUUCUAGGGCAAGUGGAAGGUCUUGCAGAAAAUAUUAGAAACAUGGGAGAACGUGGUCUCAAAUAUGCAAAAAACAAGCUGAGAAGAACAAAGGCAACGUGGGUCACUUGGCAAAAUCCGGUUGUUUCACGUGGAAUGUGUCAAUUGCCAAUGGAACCGUCGGCAAAAACUGUCAUCCAAGAACUCUAUAAAUAGGACACUUUGAUGACUUGGCAAAAUCCGGUUGUUUCACGUGGAAUGUGUCAAUUGCCAAUGGAACCGUCGGCAAAAACUGUCAUCCAAGAACUCUAUAAAUAGGACACUUUGAUGUAACUUGCAAACCCUGUUCAACACACAACUCAACAUCAUUUCAGUUAUCUUUCAAUUCAAGUCCUGCACUUUCAUUUAUCCUCUACAUUCCUGCAAUGUAUUUCCAUUAUGUCAAUUAAUACAAGUUUCAUUUCAAGU